rnacentral:tRNA from 1 species
CAUCAGAUGACUGAAAGUAAGUGUUGGUCUCUUAAACCACUAUAUAGUAAUUAACAAUUACUUCUGAUG